UUCACGGAGAGUUUGAUCCUGGCUCAGGACGAACGCUGGCGGCGUGCUUAACACAUGCAAGUCGAACGAUGAAGCCUUUCGGGGUGGAUUAGUGGCGAACGGGUGAGUAACACGUGGGCAAUCUGCCCUUCACUCUGGGACAAGCCCUGGAAACGGGGUCUAAUACCGGAUAAUACUCCUGCCUGCAUGGGUGGGGGUUGAAAGCUCCGGCGGUGAAGGAUGAGCCCGCGGCCUAUCAGCUUGUUGGUGGGGUAAUGG
rnacentral:rRNA from 1 species